rfam:Hepacivirus hominis isolate 365514 polyprotein gene, complete cds
UAAGCUACUGUCCCAGGGGGGGAGGGCCGCAAUUUGCGGGAAGUACCUCUUCAACUGGGCAGUAAAGACC